rnacentral:rRNA from 1 species
GAUGAACGCUGGCGGCGUGCCUAAUACAUGCAAGUCGAGCGAACAGACGAGGAGCUUGCUCCUCUGACGUUAGCGGCGGACGGGUGAGUAACACGUGGAUAACCUACCUAUAAGACUGGGAUAACUUCGGGAAACCGGAGCUAAUACCGGAUAAUAUAUUGAACCGCAUGGUUCAAUAGUGAAAGACGGUUUUGCUGUCACUUAUAGAUGGAUCCGCGCCGCAUUAGCUAGUUGGUAAGGUAACGGCUUACCAAGGCAACGAUGCGUAGCCGACCUGAGAGGGUGAUCGGCCACACUGGAACUGAGACAAGGUACAGACUCCUAAGGGAGGCAGCAGUAGGGAAUCUUCCGAAAUGGGCGAAAGCCUGACGGAGCAACGCCGCGUGAGUGAUGAAGGUCUUCGGAUCGUAAAACUCUGUUAUUAGGGAAGAACAAAUGUGUAAGUAACUAUGCACGUCUUGACGGUACCUAAUCAGAAAGCCACGGCUAACUACGUG